rnacentral:rRNA from 1 species
GAUGAACGCUAGCUACAGGCUUAACACAUGCAAGUUGAGGGGUAACGAGAGGAAAGCUUGCUUUCCUUGUCGACGACCGGCGCACGGGUGAGUAACGCGUAUCCAACCUGCCCCCAACUAGGGAAUAACCUUGCGAAAGUAAGACUAAUACCCUAUAAUUUCCUCAGAUGCCAUCUGCCGCGGAAUAAAGAUUUAUCGGUUGUGGAUGGGGAUGCGUCUGAUUAGCUUGUUGCCGGGGUAACGGCCUACCAAGGCAACGAUAAGUAGGGGUUCUGAGAGGAAGGUCCCCCACAUUGGAACUGAGACACGGUCCAAACUCCUACGGGAGGCAGCAGUGAGGAAUAUUGGUCAAUGGGCGGAAGCCUGAACCAGCCAAGUAGCGUGCAGGGUGACGGCCCUAUGGGUUGUAAACUGCUUUUAUACAGGAAUAAAGUUAGCCACGUGUGGUUAUUUGUAGGUACUGUAUGAAUAAGGACCGGCUAAUUCCGUGCCAGCAGCCGCCGUAA